rnacentral:lncRNA from 1 species
GGAACGACGAGGCCUCGUGCAAGUAGCGCCGCAAGGUGCCGUGCACAUGGGGCUAGCUCAGUAUGUUCCGAAUGCCAUCGGUUGUUGGGGGCAAAAUCGGGAGGCGACAUCGCUCGUGGCAGCUGAUGGCUUUUGGCAACUGAACGGCGAGGCCUCGUGCAAGUAGCGCCGCAAGGUGCCGUGCGCAUGGGGCUAAGCCCAGUAUGUUCCGAUUGCCAUCGAUUGUUGCGGGCAACAUCGGGAGGCGACAUCGCUCGUGGCGGCUGAUGGCUUUUGGCAACUGAAUGGCGAGGCCUCGUGCAAGUAGCGCCGCAAGGUGCCGUGCGCAUGGGGCUAAACUCAGUACGUUCCGAUUGCCAUCGGUUGUUGGGGGCAAAAUCGGGAGGCGACAUCGCUCGUGGCAGCUGAUGGCUUUUGGCAACGGAACGGCGAGGCCUCGUGCAAGUAGCGUCGCAAGGUGCCGUGCGCAUGGGGCUAAACUCAGUACGUUCCGAUUGCCAUCGGUUGUUGUGAGUUGUGUCUGGCAUCGCUCGUGGCGGCUGAUGGCUUUUGGCAUCGGAACGACGAGGCCUCGUGCAAGUAGCGCCG